CAUGACCAAUUUGGAAGAGCAAACAUACCUUGUGACGAAUUUCUUACCGAAGAGAUUAGGGUCUUGGCUGAAACGACUUCUGAUGGACAAACAAAUUCAUGUCACGUCUAGGACGCAUGAUCAGAAAGCCCAUUCCGCUUUUAGCUAAUCUAUCAUUCCCAUUAUUAGCAACAUUCCUUCUCAAUCUUGAGGCGAGGACAGAUUUAGGAACCAAGGGUCACACGGGGUCACCAGUGAACUCCACUGCCCUUGAGGAUUUUUAAGGCAUUCCCCACUCCAGUACCAUGCCGGGCACGAGAAAGCGUGGUCACAGAGCAGGGCUAAUACAGGACCGUCAGCUACUGGUGCCAAUCCAGUCCUUCCCAGAGAGAUCAGCUUCAUGCAGUCUAUUUCAGGGAGGUGUGAAUAGCGGACUAAGUACAAAAAUAAUCUGGAGAGACAGAGGAGGCAUGUAGAUCGGCAGAGAUGGAUUAAAUGGUUUUUAUGCCCAUAAUAACAACAACAACAGCAGCAGCUCAUAUCACUGUCAUACUGAGAAGUUUGUAAAGGAUGAAAGAGCCAGAAACAAAUACCUUAUCUGGAAUAUUGAGUUUGAUCCAAGAAGGAAAAUGAUGAACUGGAGAGCAUCCAGAGGAGGGCAACUGUGAUGAUGAAGUCUUGUCUUGAGUCCAUGUCAUAUGCAGCUGCUGAGAGUACUCACUAUGGAAUGGAAUCCCAAGGCGGUAUCAUGUUAUUCUGCUGACAUCUAAGAAAAGGGCACAGGAGCUUGCUGCUUGUGUUCAGCCCCCUGCCUUACGUGAGAUGACUCCACUGGCCCUGGGCUCUGGUUUCUUGUCAACAAGUCUUGUUUAUGGGUGAACAACUGCAAGUAGCAACUUGUGGGGCCAUUUUGUUCUUUCUUAGAACACAUGGCUCUGGGUGUUUACUACUAAGAGGGAGAAGAACGCCUCUUUGGAUUGCAUUGCACAGCUACAUAUUGGGAAGAACCCUUUUGUUUCCCACCUGUCCAAGCUUUUGAAAGUAUUUUGUAAAUUAUAAAGCAUUAUAUAAGUGUAAGCUUUUAUGAUACAGGAGGAUACAAGGGGAAAGAAGGCUAAGGGGGAAAUACUCUAAAACUGUCAAAUGAUGUGGAUAGUUUGACCCUAUAUAAAAGAGUCAUGGGGAAAGUAAACCAGAGUCCAUAUGUAUCAUAAAUUUGUAGGACCUUAGACCUAUAAAUGAAAGGUACCUCAGAGGAGAUCUAGUACAACCUUUUCAUUUUACAGAUGAGGAAACUGAGGCCCAGAGAGGUCAGGUUUUUGCCCAAGAUUGCACAGAUAGAAAUGGGCAGAGCUGGGGCUUAGCUUCAAAUGUUUUCCAUUGUUUCAUGUGCUAGGCGUUAAAAGCUUAAUGGAGGCGGGGGUUGAAAACAUAUACAUAAGAAGGGGAUAGCUAAGUGGUUCAGUGCUUCAGUGAAUUGACAGGCUUAUGGAUGGGAGAUCCUGGGGUUAAAUCUGGUCUCAGACACUUCUCAGCUGGGCAAGGCACUUCACCCCCAUUGCCUAGCCCUCACAGUUCUUCCUUGGAACAAAUACACAGUAUUGAUUCUAAAAUGGAAGGUUAGGGCUUAAAAAAAGGGGAGGCUAUAAAACGUCUAGAAGGUAAAUGUAAGAUCAUUUUGGGGGGCAGGAAGGCACUAACAGCUUGGAGGAGGAGACAGUUUUUGAGCUGAGCUUUGAAUGAGGGUAGAGAUUCUAAGAGACAGAAAGUAGAUGGGUAGGAUGGUAUUCCUGGCA